CAGUGAUAAUCGAUGAAGUAGUCGUCGUAGUCGUCGUAGUCGUAUUGGAUUUGGUUAAAACGAUUGGAGACGUGGUUGAGUCCUUGCUCCAGCUUCGCACAAUUUUGCAUCCAGUUUUUCAGCUAACCGGGUUACUUCUGCCAACUUAGCCGAAAUUGCUUCGACUGCUGUUAAGUUAGCGGCUUUGCCCGAAGCAUCCUCGGCUUCGGACAUUCUACAAAGUGAUAAAUGUCAUGUUUAUAAUACUUUGGCUUGGUAUAAAAAGAUUUGACUGCGUCGUUCGUAUUUUGUUUUCAGUUACGUCUAGAAGAAAGAUAGAGAAGAUAGAAAGAUAGAAUAAAAAAGAAGAGAAAAGAAAUGAAAAAUAGUUUCGAGUCAUCUUUCAACGACGAGUCGAUAAAUAGAUAUAUAAAUAGGACACCACAAAUAAAAUACUAACAUACGCCAAUACCGACUGGGAUAAAACGUCAAAUUUUAGCGAUUACGUAAGAAAGACGACGACGACGACGACGA
rnacentral:lncRNA from 1 species